UCCAGACGUCACGGUAGCUGAGCGCGAGCGAGUUUCUUCUCGCGCUCCCUCACGCGCAGCUACUUCACGCGAAUUCCUCCCCCUCAGCUCCCCGUCUCCUGAUCACCUCCAACCGCAGUUUGCCAGAACCGUCGAAAAUGCCUUUGACCGUGUGAGGCGGGUUGUCGUGAGAACUCUUGAGGGGAAGGAAGGCGGUGUUGGCGCUGCCCCUGCCCACUCCGCUUAUAACAACCUCUCUGUAGGUAGAAAUGGAGCAGGUGAAGUUUCCCAACCCUGGGUUAAGUUUCUCUCACGCGCUUACGUGGCGGGCCGCGUUCAGAUUAUUAUAAACCAUUUUGUGAAUAAUAAGCAGCCCUUUAGUUAAUUGAUUAAGUUAAAUGUAAAUGCAAGGUAACUUAUAAUUAACAAAAGGUGUUAGCUCAUUUGUAAAAAGCCAAAGACCACAUGUUGGCCUUUUUAUGUAACAAAACCCCCUUGACGGUACUACAUAAAACAAUUUACACAAAGCAACUCCAAAAUAAUGAAUUAUUAUUAUUAUUAUUAUUAUUAUUUAUUCCCCAGCCACUCUGGGCGGCUCCCAAUCAAGUGUUAAAAACAAUACAGUGGUACCUCAGGUUAAGUACUUAAUUCGUUCCGGAGGUCUGUUCUUAAUCUGAAACUGUUCUUAACCUGAAGCACCACUUGAGCUAAUGGGGCCUCCUGCUGCUGCCACGCCACCGGAGCCCGAUUUCUGUUCUUAUCCUGAAGCAAAGUUCUUAACCUGAAGCACUAUUUCUGGAUUAGCGGAGUGUGUAACCUGAAGCGUAUGUAACCUGAGGUACCACUGUACAGCAUUAAAUAUUAAAAACUUCCCUAAAUAAAACGUUUCAUUUAUCAAUCAAAUACGAUAAAAAACAGAUUAAAAACAUUUCAAAAGCUAAUUAAAAUCAACAAUACGCUAAAAAUUAUAAGAUAUCAAUCAAAUCAAAAGUUAAGAAUGGAGUGGAAGUAUUUCGAAGAUUAUAUGUCAAAAUAUUAUUCUAAAAAUGACAUGCUAAUAGGCUUAAAAUAAAAAAUGUAAGCAGUAACAAAACCAAUAAAGAAAGUGUUCGGUAGAUUUAUUGCUUUAUUGUUCGGCACUUGGGGCUGCUUUCGUCUCGUCCUGGCUUAGAAUCAUAGAAUCAUAGAGUUGGAAGAGACCACAAGGGCCAUCGAGUCCAACCCCCUGCCAAGCAGGAAACACCAUCAGAGCACUCCUGACAUAUGGUUGUCAAGCCUCUGCUUAAAGACCUCCAAAGAAGGAGACUCCACCACACUCCUUGGCAGCAAAUUCCACUGUCAAACAGCUCUUACUGUCAGGAAGUUCUUCCUAAUGUUUAGGUGGAAUCUUCUUUCUUGUAGUUUGGAUCCAUUGCUCCGUGUCCGCUUCUCUGGAGCAGCAGAAAACAACCUUUCUCCCUCCUCUAUGUGACAUCCUUUUAUAUAUUUGAACAUGGCUAUCAUAUCACCCCUUAACCUCCUCUUCUCCAGGCUAAACAUGCCCAGCUCCCUUAGCCGUUCCUCAUAAGGCAUCGUUUCCAGGCCUUUGACCAUUUUGGUUGCCCUCCUCUGGACACGUUCCAGUUUGUCAGUGUCCUUCUUGAACUGUGGUGCCCAGAACUGGACACAGUACUCCAGGUGAGGUCUGACCAGAGCAGAAUACAGUGGCACUAUUACUUCCCUUGAUCUAGAUGCUAUACACCUAUUGAUGAGGCCCAGAAUUGCAUUGGCUUUUUUAGCUGCCGCAUCACACUGUUGGCUCAUGUCAAGUUUGUGGUCAACCAAGACUCCUAGAUCCUUUUCACAUGUACUGCUCUCAAGCCAGGUGUCUCCCAUCUUGUAUUUGUGCCUCUCAUUAUUUUUGCCCAAGUGCAAUACUUUACAUUUCUCCCUGUUAAAAUUCAUCUUGUUUGUUUUUGCCCAGUUCUCUAAUCUGUCAAGGUCGUUUUGAAGUGUGAUCCUGUCCUCUGGGGUGUUAGCCACCCCUCCCAGUUUGGUGUCAUCUGCAAAUUUGAUGAGGAUGCCCUUGAGUCCAUCAUCCAAGUCAUUGAUAAAGAUGUUGAAUAAGACCGGGCCCAAGACAGAACCCUGUGGCACCCCACUAGUCACUCUUCUCCAGGAUGAAGAGGAACCAUUGAUGAGCACCCUCUGGGUUUGGUCAGUCAGCCAGUUACAAAUCCACUGAGUGGUAGCAUAGUCAAGACCGCAUUUUACCAGCUUCUUUACAAGAAUAUCAUGGGGCACCUUGUCAAAUGCCUUGCUGAAAUCAAGGUAGGCUACAUCCACUGCAUUCCCUUCAUCUACCAGGCUUGUAAUUCUGUCAACAAACGAGAUCAGGUUAGUCUGACAUGACUUAUUUUUCAGAAAUCCAUGCUGACUAUUGGUGAUCACAGCAUUCCUUUCUAGGUGCUCACAGACUGUUUGCUUAAUGAUCUGCUCCAGAAUCUUCCCUGGUAUUGAUGUCAGACUGACUGGGCGGUAAUUAUUUGGGUCCUCUCUUUUCCCCUUUUUGGAAAUAGGGACAACAUUUGCCCUCCAGUCUGCCGGGACUUCGCCUGUUCUCCAGGAAUUCUCAAAGAUGACUGCCAGUGGUUCUGAGAUCACAUCUGCCAGUUCUUUUAAUACUCUUGGAUGCAGUUCAUCUGGCCCUGGAGACUCGAAUACAUCUAAACUAGCCAAGUAUUCUUGUACUAUCUCCUUAGUUAUUCUGGGCUGUGUUUCCUCUGCUGAAUCAUUUGCUCCAAAUUCUUCAGGUCGGGCAUUGUUUUCUUUAUCGGAGAAGACUGAGGCAAAGAAGGCAUUGAGGAGUUCAGCCCUUUCUGUGUCCCCUGUUUGCAUUUCACCAUCUUCUCCUCUGAGUGACCCCACUGUUUCUUUGUUCUUCCUUUUGCUACGAACAUACCCAUAAAAGCCUUUUUGUUGCUUUUAACCUCUCUAGCAAGCCUGAGUUCAUUCUGUGCUUUAGCUUUUCUGACUUUGUGUCUACACGUGCUGGCUAUUUGUUUGAAUUCCUCUUUGGUGGUUUCCCCUUUUCCAUUUUUUGUACACAUCCUUUUUUUAAUCCUAACUCAGUUAAAAGUUCUUUAGAUAGCCACCCUGGCUUCUUUAGGCACCUUCCAUGUUUCCAUCUCAUUGGUAUUGCCUGAAGUUGUGCUUUUACUAUCUCCCUCUUAACAAACUCCCAGCCAUCAUGAACUCCCUUUCCUUUUAGUAUUACUGUCCAUGGGAUCUCACCCAGCACUUCCCUAAGUUUUAUGAAGUCAGCUUUCUUAAAGUCAAGAAAUUGAGUCCUAGUAUGCUUGGCUGCUCCUUUCCGCUGUAUAGUAAACUUCAGAAGAGCAUGAUCACUCGCGCCUAAUGAUCCUCCCACUUCUACCCCACUAACCAGGUCAUCAACAUUGGUUAGGACCAGAUCUAAAAUGGCUGUUCCUCUUGUUGCUUCUCCCACUUUCUGGACAAUGAAGUUGUCUGCAAGGCCAGUGAGGAAUCUGUUUGACCUUAUGCUCUUGGCUGAGUUUGACAUCCAACAAAUAUCCGGGUAAUUGAAGUCCCCAUUACUACUAUCUCCUUCCUUUUGCAUGCUUGGCCAUCUGUUCCAGGAAGGCAUCAUCUAUGUCCUCCGUUUGGCUUGGGGAUCUAUAGUAAACUCCCACAAUGAGGUCACUGUUAUUCUUCUCUCCCUUGAUUUUGACCCAAAUGCUCUCACUUUGGCUUUGAGGUUCUAAAUCUUGGAUCUCUUCACAGGUAUACACAUCCCUGACAUAUAACGCCACUCCUCCUCCUUUCUUGUCUGGUCUGUUUCUCUGAAAUAGAUUGUAUCCCUCCAUUAUUACAUUCCAAUCGUGGGACUUAUCCCACCAGGUUUCAGUGAUGCCUAUUAUGUCAUAUUUAGUUUGCUGUACCAAGAGCUCAAGCUCAUCUUGUUUAUUUCCCAUGCUUUGCGCAUUAGUGUACAGACAUUGAAGUCCAUUAAUCAUUCCCCGUGACUCUUAUUUAAGGAUUUUUCCUCCCACCACUAGGUCUGCGUGCUGUUUGCUCCAUUUGGUCUAUGACAUUUGGAUGAUCAUCUUCAUCAAUUGAUAGACUCCUACCUUCAGGAGCACUGUCUCCCUCCCCACAUUAGUCAGUUUAAAGCCCUCCUGAUGAGGUUUCUGAGAUUUUGGCAAAAACAUUCCUCCCAACCGUUGUGAGGUGCAGCCCAUCGCUUGCCAGAAGUCCAUCUUCAAGAAACUGCAGUCCGUGAUCUAAGAAUCCAAACCGUUCCUGUUUACACCAUUUGCGAAGCCAGCUGUUCACUUCCACUAUUUUCCCUCUCUCCCUGGGCCACGUCGUUCAACUGGGAGGACAGAUGAGAUGACAAUUUGUGCAUUUAAUUGCUUCAAUUUCCUGCCCAGAGCCUCGUAGUCUCUUUUGAUCUUCUGGAGGCUAUUGCUUGCAGUGUCAUUGGUUCCCACAUGAACCAAGAGGAGGGGGUAUUUGUCAGUGGGUUUUAUGAUUCCUUGCAGUCGUUCAGUUACAUCUUGGAUCUUAGCCCCGGGGAGGCAGCACACUUCCCGAGACAUCUUGUCAGGCCCACAGAUCACUGCUUCUGUUCCCCUCAGUAGGGAAUCCCCUAUCACCACUACAUGCCUCCUCUUAGGUUUGGUCGGGGUUCUUCCGUGAGCUGUCCGUUCCAAGGUCGCCUGCACAUUCCCUGAGGACUGACUUUGCUGCUCAUCUUCAUAUACCUGAUCGACUGUAAUGAGGGAGAGAUCCUCAAAUGGAGUCUGCUCUUCGUCUUCCAUGCUAGGGGAGAGGACCUCAAAGCGAUUGUGUAUUUCUAAACAAUCAGAGCGAACCCUGGGCCUCCUACUUCUUUGAGUCACAUUUCUCCAUGUAUCUGGCUCCUGUGUUGGUGAACUAGUCUCCUUCUCAGGGGAGUCCCCUGUCUCCUCCUUGGUGGAGACGGUGUGCUCUGUUGCUUCCAAGAAGAGCUCCAGCUCUCUAAUUCUUUGGAGCGUAGCUACAUGUUCCUCCAGUUGCUGGACUUUGUCUUCUAAGAGGGCAAUCAACAUGCAAUUGCUGCAGGUAAAGCUGCCUGCAACCUUUGGCAAGAUGGCAAACAUUGUGCAGGAACCGCAGGCGACUGCAGCUGUUCCCUCCCCCUCCAUCUUGAGAACGUGUCGUUGGGGGUGGCUACAGUGGUCCUCCAUCAUAAAAAGCGUGAAGACAGGACAAAUAACUUCCCCCCCAAAAAAACCUAGGUCUCCCCCAACAAACGUUUGAGACUAGCUCCCCUAAAUCUAAAAGAUGGAUCAAACUGCGCGCACCGCUAGGCGCGCGCCGCUGCCCUGCAAGCUCUGAUAAGCUCCUCCCACAGCUAAUCACCUGCCUCAACAGAAACCCUGCCCCCUCUGACCUUUGCACAGGGAGAGCAGCUAAUCAGCCACAAAGAAACACACACACACAAGAAAACCCUUUUUGCACCUUCUUCAGCUUACUUCCCUUGUAAGCCCAUCCCCUCAGUCUCGAGACACAGAAGGUUAACCCUUAACUACACCCAACAGAAAGAAGGAAAAAUCAGAAUUUAACAGAAAUAAUUUAUUAUAGAAUGCAAGGGGAAAAAGGUAGAAAGAAAUAUAAAGAAGUCGAAUUGCUGUGGAGGGAAGUAGAGGGUGGGUGGUGGGUUUUAUAAUUAAGUGUAUAAUUAUGCAGCUGUUGUAAUUUAGAUACUAUAUUUUAUGUGAGGGAAUCAUUGGGAAUUUUGGUUAUUAUGUAUAUAUGUUAAGUUUCAAUAAAGAUCUUUGGGGGGGGACUACCCUCAGACUAUUCAAGGGGGAACCCCCCCCCCAAACCCCAAUAUGCUAAAAACAGGCUAAAACACAUAUAAGUUCCACAUGUCUGAAUAGGCCUGCCUAAACAAAAAUAUUUUAAGCAGGUAUCAAAAAGUAUAAUAAAGGUGCCUGCCUGAUACUGAUAGGGAGUUCUAAAGUGUUGGUGCUUUUCUUUUGAGAAUUUCUUUCACAAUAAUAAGCAUGCACCAGAGCCAAACAGCAGUUAAAAUAAAUUUGUGCCAUCACCUCACUAGCCCAUGAACAAAAUUUGCCCUUAACACUUCCUUCUCACUUUAUGCUGCAUAAACCCACUCCACUAACAUAAGAGAUUGGGCUGGGGGCGGCAAGCAGAUACACCUGGCCUUUGUCACCUGAAAUGUAUAUUUUCAUAUCAUAGGGUAGUUUACAAUAUAAAAACACAAAAACACAGCAGGAAAGUGAAGAGGGGAUUGUGAAUCAACUGAAAGGAAAGUGGGAACCAGUAGAUUCCCCCUGAAGAAUGGGCUGUUUGGCUGCACAUUUGAUUACACUUGGAAAUAAGGUCCCCUGUAAAUAUUCCCAAAUAAAUUGAUUAUAAGGACUAUUCCCCACCCCCUUGGAGCUGAAUUGGCCCUGUAUUCCUUCCGAAUACUUAAGCCGGGAAGCAGAGUGAUCAUGCCUGUUAUGAAAAGGUCCAAAGUUAAUACAGUGGUACCUCGGGUUAAGAACUUAAUUCGUUCUGGGGGUCCGUUCUUAACCUGAAACUGUUCUUAACCUGAAGCACCACAUUAGCUAAUGGGGCCUCCCACUGUUGCCGUGCUGCCGGAGCACGAUUUCUGUUCUCAUCCUGAAGCAAAGUUCUUAACCCGAGGUACUAUUUCUGGGUUAGCUGAGUCUGUAACCUGAAGCAUAUGUAACCUGAAGCGUAUGUAACCCGAGGUACCACUGUAAUAACAUCUGCCUCUUCCUGAGUGCUGUCCCUUUGAGGUGUACCUCCUCUCAGGGAAUUGCAUCAGGCAUCAGUCCAGAUUUCUUUUAAAACUAAGCUACAUUCUUAUUUCCAGAAAUAACAUCUCCAUGUGAAAUGUUCACCUAUUAAUACUUGGAGAUAACACUCAAAACAUAACUAUUGGUAAGUAACCUCUAUUUCUUUCUUGAAAAAAAGCAAUAGAAAAAGUAACCUGAACUGAAUUAUUUGAACCUUGGACUUUUUCUGGAAAUAAUACAAUAAAACAAUGAGAUUGAUCUGAUGCAAUCUCUAAUUUCAUAUUGGAGUAUACCCUGAGGGUGGUUAGAAAGUAAAUUAUUGUGUACAGCGGAAGCACUGGCAAAAUUCUAGUACACCACCUAAUGUGUAUUGAGUGCUGGAAUUCUUGGAAAGAACUUCGGAUUAGGUGACUAGUAGGAAGGCAUUUUUAUGUUCUUAAGCAAGACUGCAGCGCAAGUUCUUAAGACAUAGUUUAAGAGAUGCCAGGUAUGCACUCUUGCUUUGCAUAUUUAACAGGUAGUGGUGUUCUUUGAGAAUCAUAGGUUGAAUAGAAAGGGCAAACAAUGCAGAGCUGAAAUAUUUGGAAACUUGUUAGACUAAAAAUUAUAUAAAAAUGAAACAGCCAGGUAGCAAAAUAAGUACCCAAUUAGUAAGUGUCUUAUCUUACAACCAGUUAAUAGUUCAGCAAUCCAAAGUGACUUUUAUAUUGCUAUUUUUAGUGCUGCUAUUUUUGGAUACUAACCUGCUGAAUAUUUAUGUUACUCUGUGAUGUCUUAGGGUCUUUAGUAAAAUCAGAUCAGGUGUCAGUUGCAUGUUUUAUAUUACAUUUUAAAGCAAUUUCUACUAUCAGGCUGGAAAGUUUCCUCCUCUAUUUAGGGGGAAAACACAAUUAAGGAAAACAUUUGGUUUUUAAGAUCCUUCAGAUAUGUAACUCAAAAGUUUAUACGUGCAAAUAAAUAAAUAGGAAUGUGGAAUUGUAAAAAACCCCAAAACCCUUGGGUCAUGAUGUCAUACUUUAGGAUGUGUGGGCAUAAUUUUACUGUUAAUGUGGAAUUCCUUUUAAGAUGCAGUAUGGUGUUGUACAAGGCCAUAAUCAGUAACAAUAUUCAAAUGGAUGAACCAUGAGCUCAGCUGAAUAUUUGUUUGAUGCUACUGUUGCCGGUCUCAUUGUCCAAUAAAUGAGUCCCUCUUUAGCGUUAUAAUCAGUCUCUCUCUUUGAAAGUAGGAACAGCUAUGAAGGCAGCAGAACAUAUGGUUCUGAGCAUACCCGUUGCCCCACUGAAGCAUAUUAUUGCACACCAUCCCAAUUUCAGAGCAGUACAAGAUUACUGUACUGGAGUUCUAGGCACUCAAUGGGGGUUUCUGUUUCCUUUUGGAAAUGAGGCACAGUGGAGACUUGUAUUUAUAAUAUGUGGCUUAUUUACACAUAUAUACAACCAGUACCUACGAUGGAGGUGUUCACAACAUCAUCACCCCAAAAGGGUCUUGCUUCUUCCUUAGUCAUAGCCUUGGAUUCAAACAGAAAUCAAACAUUGUGUUCUGACCCUCCCCUCAGCUUUCCAGCUUGCUGCUUUCCUUCUAAGUGAAGUUAUUGCUUCCUAACCUCUCUGUUCUAAACUCUGGCUUUAUUUGUUGAGGGAGAGGGGCCCACCCAUUUGCUGUCUCACACUGAGCCCUCAAUCCUUUGUUCUCCUAAUGGACCAGGCAAUUACCUCAUCAGGAAGCUAGCCUGGCUUAUUUUUUAAACACCUGCUGGACCUUGGGGUUCACUAGGCUUGAUUAGAUUUCAACACAUAUUGGAUCUGGGGAUUAAAAGGGUCCAGCACCUACAAACUUACCGGUAUAAUAUUAUUACGGUAUUUGAGCAGCUCCAUUUUCAGUUACCUUUUUAUUGGUAAGAAUUCUCAGAAGAUAACCAUAUUAGUUUGCUAUGGCAAAAACAACAAUGAAGAGCCAUGUGGUACAGUAAGUCAAGUCCCAAGCAAGGUGGAGAACUUAAAGGUUUUUCCACACCAAGUAUGCUUGGGAUUACCCAGCUUGAAAAACUCUUUUAAGUUGUUGCUUUGCUUGCUGAGCAAGGCUUGCUCCCAACACUGGCUUUGGGAUACUCUCACAAGAUUUUGCGGUACAAUCAGAGCUCCCUUGAGAUCUUGUGUGAGCAUCCCUAGCCCUCUAGAGCCAACAUUGUGAGUGGGCAUUGCCUCUCAAGCAAGGCUGAGAGCUUAAAACCCCUUUUUGUACUGGGUAACCCAAGUUGACCUGGGACUCAUCUACACUUGUGGUUUUUAAUACUAAAAAUGAGUUUUAAAAUGGUUAUGAUAAUCCUAUAGCCAUAUGAUAUUCUUUUAAAACGUCAAUACAGUGGUACCUCAGUUUACGAACAUAAUCUGUUCCUGAAGUCCGUUCUUAAACCAAAUCCGUUCUUAAACUGAGGCGUGCUUUCCCUAAUGAGGCCUUCCACCACCAGUGCCCUCCCACCGUUCGGCUUCUGCUCAUAGACCAAGGUAAAGUUCGCAAACCGGAACACUACUUCCAGUUUUGCGGGGUUUGUAAACCAAAUAGUUCGUAAACAGGACUGUCCGUAAACCGAGGUACUACUGUAAUGCGUUAUUGAAACGUGACACCAGAGGGUGCUGCAUAAUCCACUCCUCAUCAAAUAAGAGGGUAGACCUUGUAGAAAAGGAAGCGAAAGAGAAACCAAAUUCCUUUUGUUUUCGAACGCUAUAAAAAACAUUGUUCUAAGAACAUUUAAAGAGUGAGUAUAGAUCCAUUCCUGGUGUGAAAAGAGCAUUUAAGCACUCAGCUGUGCGUGGGGAUGCAGCACUUUAAGAGCCAGGGAUGUUCUUGUGAAGACUUGUGGGAUAAUCCAAGUUCUUGUCAGCUCUCAAGAGCUAGUGCUGUGAGUGGGUCUUCCCCAUCAAGCAAGGCUGAGAGCUUAAAAGCUUUUUUUAUGCUGGGUAACCCAGACCCAUCACAAAAGAGCUUCUAAGUUCUUGGCCUUGCCUGCAGAAGGAAAGCCCUGUUUAGUGCACAGGCUUUGGGAGUACUGGAGAUGCUCUCUCUCACUCUUCCUCACCUGCUAGCUAUGGGGCCACUCAGAGUAUUGGAAUAUAUGCAACUUACACAUAUAUGCAUAACUUUUGGAAUCAAACACCCAUGUAAGAUGAGGGAUUACUGUACUUUAAAGACUGGAAAAUUUAUCAUAGCACAAGCUUUCAUAGACCAGAGUCCACUUCUUUAGAUGCAUGAAGCAUCAUCCUAAAUUGAAGGGAUGGAUAUAAAAGGAUAUUGGUCUAAAUAGAUGUAAAUAAAAAGAUGAAGUACAGAAGUUAGCAUAAUAUGAAAUGCAAAAAAUGCAAACUGUGACAAUUAUUGUGAAGCUGAAAUAUAUGUAAAAUAAUCACAAAAACUUUUCACAAAUCUUGUGUUGAUAACAAUUUUUUUGGCACAGGUAAGCUAAUAAAUACAUAUAGUGAGAGAAAUGAUAUUACAGUAUAAUGAUUCCAGACACAGGCGAUAGAAUUUAACUUCAUGAUAAAUUUUAAUAGUUACAUACUGGAGAGUUACUUUGAAUUUCCUGUGUUCACAAUUGGCUACUUUAAGGUAAGUUGCUGAUUUUCUUUGGAGCCUGUCAGCUUUGCACCAUAUUUCAUGAAUGCUUAUGCCAUUAUAGAUUUGCUGGAGUUAAAGGUACAACAAAACUUACUGUACAAACUUUUUCAAUUUAUCAUUAAAUAAACAAUGUGUUCAAUGCU